GACGAACGCUGGCGGCGUGCUUAACACCUGCAAGUCGCACGGAGUGGCGAACGGGUGAGUAACACGUGGGUGAUCUGCCUUGCACUCUGGGAUAAGCUUGGGAAACUGGGUCUAAUACCGGAUAGUGCAAGAUGAGCUCGCGGCCUAUCAGCUUGUUGGUGGGGUAAUGUCCUACCAAGGCGUAGACGGGUAGCCGGCCUGAGAGGGUGUACGGCCACAUUGGGACUGAGAUACGGCCCAGACACCGAAGGGGGGCCGCAGUAGGGAAUAUUGCACAAUGGGUGGAACCCUGUUGCAGCGACUCCGCGUGGGAGAUGACGGUCUUCGGGUUGUAAACGCAUUUCGACAAGGACGCGGUACCUGUAUAAGAAGCACCGGCUAACUACGUGCCAGCCGCCGCGGUAAUUC
rnacentral:rRNA from 1 species